AGGUUAUUAGUUUAAAUAAAAUUUUUGAUUUCGGCUCAAAAGAUUGUGGUUCAAAUCCACCAUUACCUU
rnacentral:tRNA from 1 species